UGAGAUAUUAUUUGAUAAAAAUGUUUUUUUUCUUCAGUAAUUACAAAUUAUUUGGAUUAUUUGGUUUUGUCAACCAGCUUGGUCAUGAUAUGGACGAUAAGACAUUUGAGGAGGUGUUUGGACGUUUCAAGUCAUUGGCUGAGACAAAGAAGAGUCUUACGGACGAGGACCUAGAAUCAUUGGUUCAUCAGGUGGCCAUCCAUCCCUAGCCUAUAGAGAGAAAAUUCUUCAUUGCCGAUCCUUGUCUGGUGUUGGAGACAAUCUUUCUUAAUAUCUUUCUUUCUCUUGUCUUUGCUUAUCUUAUUUUCCAAGUAUCUUCUUGUAUCGGUUGUGGUUGCUUUUUCGUUCUAAUGAAGAUAGCUUUCAUGGUCACGGUAGUUCCCUCUGUCCAUGAGACUCUUGUAUU